GACGAACGCUGGCGGCGUGCUUAACACAUGCAAGUCGAACGGUGAAGCUCCAGCUUGCUGGAGUGGAUCAGUGGCGAACGGGUGAGUAACACGUGAGCAACCUGCCCCUGACUCUGGAAUAAGCGCUGGAAACGGCGUCUAAUACUGGAUACGAGAAGGGUCCGCAUGGGCACUUUCUGGAAAGUUUUUCGGUUGGGGAUGGGCUCGCGGCCUAUCAGCUUGUUGGUGAGGUAAUGGCUCACCAAGGCGACGACGGGUAGCCGGCCUGAGAGGGCGACCGGCCACACUGGGACUGAGACACGGACCAGACGCCUACGGGAGGCAGCAGUGGGGAAUAUUGCACAAUGGGCGAAAGCCUGAUGCAGCGACGCCGCGUGAGGGAUGACGGCCUUCGGGUUGUAAACCUCUUUCAGCAGGGAAGAAGCGAAAGUGACGGUACCUGCAGAAGAAGCACCGGCUAACUACGUG
rnacentral:rRNA from 1 species